rfam:Glossina fuscipes fuscipes unplaced genomic scaffold Scaffold25, whole genome shotgun sequence.
ACGAAAUACACACAUAUAGGCCGGUCGGAGUUUGGGGUAAAAUUGUGGGAUCGCUGUGUGCCAUUGCUGGUGUAUUAACGAUCGCUCUACCGGUACCAGUAAUUGUCAGUAAU